rnacentral:rRNA from 1 species
AGGGGGGGGGGGUGCCUAAAACAUGCAAGUCGAACGCGUUGGCCCAAUUGAUUGAUGGUGCUUGCACCUGAUUGAUUUUGGUCGCCAACGAGUGGCGGACGGGUGAGUAACACGUAGGUAACCUGCCCAGAAGCGGGGGACAACAUUUGGAAACAGAUGCUAAUACCGCAUAACAGCGUUGUUCGCAUGAACAACGCUUAAAAGAUGGCUUCUCGCUAUCACUUCUGGAUGGACCUGCGGUGCAUUAGCUUGUUGGUGGGGUAACGGCCUACCAAGGCGAUGAUGCAUAGCCGAGUUGAGAGACUGAUCGGCCACAAUGGGACUGAGACACGGCCCAUACUCCUACGGGAGGCAGCAGUAGGGAAUCUUCCACAAUGGGCGCAAGCCUGAUGGAGCAACACCGCGUGAGUGAAGAAGGGUUUCGGCUCGUAAAGCUCUGUUGUUAAAGAAGAACACGUAUGAGAGUAACUGUUCAUACGUUGACGGUAUUUAACCAGAAAGUCACGGCUAACUACGUGCCAGCAGCCGCGGUAAUACGUAGGUGGCAAGCGUUAUCCGGAUUUAUUGGGCGUAAAGAGAGUGCAGGCGGUUUUCUAAGUCUGAUGUGAAAGCCUUCGGCUUAACCGGAGAAGUGCAUCGGAAACUGGAUAACUUGAGUGCAGAAGAGGGUAGUGGAACUCCAUGUGUAGCGGUGGAAUGCGUAGAUAUAUGGAAGAACACCAGUGGCGAAGGCGGCUACCUGGUCUGCAACUGACGCUGAGACUCGAAAGCAUGGGUAGCGAACAGGAUUAGAUACCCUGGUAGUCCAUGCCGUAAACGAUGAGUGCUAGGUGUUGGAGGGUUUCCGCCCUUCAGUGCCGGAGCUAACGCAUUAAGCACUCCGCCUGGGGAGUACGACCGCAAGGUUGAAACUCAAAGGAAUUGACGGGGGCCCGCACAAGCGGUGGAGCAUGUGGUUUAAUUCGAAGCUACGCGAAGAACCUUACCAGGUCUUGACAUCUUGCGCCAACCCUAGAGAUAGGGCGUUUCCUUCGGGAACGCAAUGACAGGUGGUGCAUGGUCGUCGUCAGCUCGUGUCGUGAGAUGUUGGGUUAAGUCCCGCAACGAGCGCAACCCUUGUUACUAGUUGCCAGCAUUAAGUUGGGCACUCUAGUGAGACUGCCGGUGACAAACCGGAGGAAGGUGGGGACGACGUCAGAUCAUCAUGCCCCUUAUGACCUGGGCUACACACGUGCUACAAUGGACGGUACAACGAGUCGCGAACUCGCGAGGGCAAGCAAAUCUCUUAAAACCGUUCUCAGUUCGGACUGCAGGCUGCAACUCGCCUGCACGAAGUCGGAAUCGCUAGUAAUCGCGGAUCAGCAUGCCGCGGUGAAUACGUUCCCGGGCCUUGUACACACCGCCCGUCACACCAUGAGAGUUUGUAACACCCAAAGUCGGUGGGGUAACCUUUAGGAGCCAGCCGCCUAAGGUGGGCCCAAU